rnacentral:rRNA from 1 species
UACUAUGUUACGACUUAUCCCACCUUAAAAACGAGAGUGACGGGCGAUAUCUACACAUUCUAGAGCUCAAUUCAUUAUAAAAUUCUAAAAAUAAUUACAUUUAAAUCCACCUUCAUAUUAAUAAUUUACAUAAUAAAAUCCAUUAUAUUUCACCCAAUAUUGUAACCCAUUUCCACUUAAUUAUAAAUUAAACCUUGACCUGAAAUAUUAUAAAAUAAUAACCCUUAAAAAUUAAAUUACCUUAAAAAGUCUCUUAAAACGGCGGUAUAUAUAAACAAUUUUAAGUAAGUUCAUACGCGGAUUAUCGAUUACGGAACAGGUUCCUCUAAAGAGACUAAAACGCCGCCAAAUCAUUUAAGUUUAAAGAUCAUAAUCUAAUACUACUAAAGCAAAUCAAUUAACAUCACCAAUAAUAGGGUAUCUAAUCCUAGUUU